rnacentral:lncRNA from 1 species
CCAGAGGAGUGGGCUGGACCCCUCCCGGGUCCCACAAGGCCGAGUUGGCCCGCCGGGCUGCAGAGCUGGGGCUGGCUGAGGGAGUCACCACUGACGAGGCUAUUGCAAAUUAUCAGCACAUGAUGAUGAUGCAUCGCCAGCAGCAGAUGGAGCAGCAGCAGCAGAUGGAGCAGCAGCAGACUUCACAGCAGCUGGAGACCAGCGAGGAGACUCAACAAGGCGUCAACAUGGACGCCAUGGAGGUCCUUCACGUCAAGAGGAAAAAGACCAUCCAGACUGUCCAGAAAAAGUCCACCAGCACCACCUCAUCGUCAUUUAAAUCCAUGGAGAAGAAAUCCAGCACCACCUCCUCCUCUUCAUCAGCUGCCCUCCACAACACAGUGGAGACAUCCAUGUCUAGUAAAGCGUCUGCGAUAAAAGAAGCGUAGAUACUUGUUUAUAGGUGAUAGUGUGUAGAGAUGGCCACUUUAAGAAAGUGUGGUUAACUUUACAAGUGGUAUUUGUGGUAUCUAUUUUGACGAAGUGACUCUGUAGUUACACAACGCGCCACACUGAUAUCCAACGGAGCUACUGUAGGUGCAAUAAUGAACUGUAAAAUGUCUAAGGGAUGAUACGCAUGUUGAAUCAGGAAAGGAAUUGUCAAGUUAAUUAAAAGCAUUGUCAAUGUAUGUGGUGAGCAAAAAAGGGAAUUUAGAAAGAAACUUUAUUUUCAGAUUUAAUUAAUGCAAGGUAUCUUUUGACAUUUGAUGAACAAUUGAAUGGGUUGUAUUGCCUCUAAAGAACCCUGCUCAAUACCAGGUCAAGGAAAACAUCAAGAAUGACUAGACUGUUUCGGGUUGUUUCAAGUUAAACGUCAUACUGUGUGAAAUAUGAAAGUUUAAAUGAUGUAUAUCAAAUGUGUUUAGAAGAUAUGUAGCUGGGCUAGCUGUAUGGCCAGCACUGGAGAGGAUCUUUUUCAUCGUUUUAUUAUUUUUUUUAUCUUUCGAGAUGAAAACAGACUGCGAGUUCAAAUGAACAAAGGCCACCUUGCGGUUUUCAAACAUGCGGUUUCCUAACGAGGUCUGCUAAUCUAGUGCACUUUGAGCUCGGCUCAGUGAGAAAGAAGUAAAGGCCUCCUGAAAUGAUGUGUGAUCUACAUUGUGUCUGGCAGGUUCAGCUUUUUGAGUUUGUAUCAAUGCCCCUCUUUAAUUUAAAGCUGGGCUGGGAGUAAAUACUUGGUUUUAUCGCUGAUAAAAAUAAACUUUUCAAAGCA